CUAAAGUCCCCUCGUAUUCUACUCAGUGACUAUAUCUGCUUCGGCGCUGUCACAUGGCGUUGAAAGCCCCACCAAAAAGAGAGGCUUCUUCUAGGAUGAGUACUCAACACAAAUCCUUUUCCAAUUCUUUCUCCAAAGAGAAAAUAUCUAAUAUAUUAAGGUAGAAUUAUUUCGUGGCCAGGUCCUCUUGCCAACCUGGCCGUUUGGGAUCACUAAGAACCGUUCUCACUUCCCUUUAUGGCAACCUCCGAAACCAAGGCGUGACACCAGCCAAAGACCACCCUAGGGUGCUGCAGCAGUCAAGGAAAAGCCGGCCGAGAUCAAGACCAUCACCUAAGAACAGACCAGGAGAAGUCGGCCGAACAACAGUCGACUAGAGUCCACAACAACGGGAACUCCUGGGAAAGUU
rnacentral:lncRNA from 1 species